rnacentral:rRNA from 1 species
GUCUAUGGCCAUACCACCCUGAACCUAUCCAAUGCCUGAUGUCAGAAGCUAAGCAGGGUAGGGCUUGUUUAGUACUUGGAUCGGAGAAAUACCACUUUCCUUCCAAA